rnacentral:misc_RNA from 1 species
GAUGAAGAACGCAGUGAAAUGCGAUAAGUAAUGUGAAUUGCAGAAUUCAGUGAAUCAUCGAAUCUUUGAACGCACAUUGCGCCCCCUGGUAUUCCGGGGGGCAUGCCUGUUCGAGCGUCAUUACAACCCUCAAGCUCUGCUUGGUAUUGGGCCCCGCCAGUUCUGGCGGGCCCUAAAGUCAGUGGCGGUGCCUUCCGGCUCCGAGCGUAGUAAUUCUUCUCGCUCUGGAGACCCGGUUGUGUGCUUGCCAACAACCCCCAAUUUUUUAAGGUUGACCUCGGAUCAGGUAGGGAUACCCGCUGAACUUAAGCAUAUCAAAAGCGGAGGA